CUUCCUCCCCCCUUCGAAUCUGGCAAAAACCCCGAAAAUCCAUCUUCCCCUCCAAUCUUCAGAUAACGAUAACCAAUGCCAGGAUUAUCACGAGGACCAGCGGUAUUGCGUGGACUGCCCAACUCUUCUUCUUUGAUCCUAAGGAUUUCACGAUGAUUUUUUCAAGAAAUUGCCAAGAUAUACCAAGCAAGAUGAUUAGCAUAACAGGGCAAGGCAAAGGCUCUACAGUAAGCCACGGGGGCACCGACAACACAGUUGGUGCCGAAGACCUAGCAUAGAACUCAUCAUCGACUCCAUUCAACUCAAUGGUGGCUCCAAGGGAAGUACUAUGGGGAAAAGGAAAAGAGCGGGAGGCGUCAAAGAACGAGUUACUUGAGACUUUCAAGAUAUUGGAGGGAGCUCUAUCGUCACUUUCUCCUGCUGGUUCCAUGCCUUUAAGAUGUCUGUGUGAGCUCUGUCGCAGUCGGGGGGUGGGGGGAGUUCGCGUAGGAGAGUGAAAACGUGAUUUGGGCAGGAGAGUGAAAACGUGAUGCACGUAGGGGCAGUUUGUGUAGGGAUAAAAUCUGGUGUAGGCAAGUGCGUAAAGAGCCCUCUAAUAGGCUGACAUGGCAGGAUGGGAUUGGUGGGCUGGUUAUGGCUUCAAACCAGAUGGUCUGGUCACAAGGUUUUCUCUAUAAAAAAAAAAGGAAAAGAAAACAAUUCUU